rnacentral:rRNA from 1 species
UUGAACGCUGGCGGCAGGCCUAACACAUGCCAGUCGAGCGGAUGAAGGGAGCUUGCUCCUGGAUUCAGCGGCGGACGGGUGAGUAAUGCCUAGGAAUCUGCCUGGUAGUGGGGGAUAACGUCCGGAAACGGGCGCUAAUACCGCAUACGUCCUGAGGGAGAAAGUGGGGGAUCUUCGGACCCCACGCUAUCAGAUGAGCCUAGGUCGGAUUAGCUAGUUGGUGGGGUAAAGGCCUACCAAGGCGACGAUCCGUAACUGGUCUGAGAGGAUGAUCAGUCACACUGGAACUGAGACACGGUCCAGACUCCUACGGGAGGCAGCAGUGGGGAAUAUUGGACAAUGGGCGAAAGCCUGAUCCAGCCAUGCCGCGUGUGUGAAGAAGGUCUUCGGAUUGUAAAGCACUUUAAGUUGGGAGGAAGGGCAGUAAGUUAAUACCUUGCUGUUUUGACGUUACCAACAGAAUAAGCACCGGCUAACUUCGUG